rnacentral:tRNA from 2 species
CGUUAGCUCAGUUGGUAGAGCAGCUGACUCUUAAUCAGCGGGUCGGGGGUUCGAAUCCCUCACG